rnacentral:rRNA from 1 species
UACGUAGGGUGCGAGCGUUAAUCGGAAUUACUGGGCGUAAAGCGUGCGCAGGCGGUUCGUUGUGUCGGCGGUGAAAGCCCCGGGCUCAACCUGGGAAUGGCCGUUGAAACUGGCGAACUGGAGUGGGGCAGAGGGGGGUGGAAUUCCGCGUGUAGCAGUGAAAUGCGUAGAGAUGUGGAGGAACACCGAUGGCGAAGGCAGCCCCCUGGGUUAACACUGACGCUCAGGCACGAAAGCGUGGGGAGCAAACAGG